CAAAUGGUUAACAUACUGGCACAUCCCCACUAAAGCAAUAAGAGAAGAGUAGCCUAUGCUCUUCUGUUCCCUUACCUCAAGGAUCCAUAUACCAAGAAAGGCUAUAAACAUUUCUAUGAUGCUGCAAGCAGCACAGGAUACAUUUCUUGG